CGAGUGGCGAACGGGUGAGUAACGCGUGAGGAACCUGCCUCAAAGGGGGGGACAACAGUUGGAAACGACUGCUAAUACCGCAUAAGCCCACGGCUCGGCAUCGAGCAGAGGGAAAAGGAACAAUCCGCUUUGAGAUGGCCUCGCGUCCGAUUAGCUAGUUGGUGAGGUAACGGCCCACCAAGGCGACGAUCGGUAGCCGGCCUGAGAGGGUAAACGGCCACAUUGGGACUGAGACACGGCCCAA
rnacentral:rRNA from 1 species